CAGGCUUAACACAUGCAAGUCGAGGGGCAGCAUGGUCUUAGCUUGCUAAGGCCGAUGGCGACCGGCGCACGGGUGAGUAACGCGUAUCCAACCUGCCUUACACUCUUGGACAGCCUUCUGAAAGGGAGAUUAAUACAAGAUGUUAUCAUGAGUAAGCAUUUUCGCAUGAUUAAAGGUUUACCGGUGUAAGAUGGGGAUGCGUUCCAUUAGAUAGUAGGCGGGGUAACGGCCCACCUAGUCUUCGAUGGAUAGGGGUUCUGAGAGGAAGGUCCCCCACAUUGGAACUGAGACACGGUCCAAACUCCUACGGGAGGCAGCAGUGAGGAAUAUUGGUCAAUGGACGAGAGUCUGAACCAGCCAAGUAGCGUGAAGGAUGAAGGUUCUAUGGAUUGUAAACUUCUUUUAUACGGGAAUAAACGAAUCCACGUGUGGAUUUUUGCAUGUACCGUAUGAAUAAGGAUCGGCUAACUCCGUGCCAGCAGCCGCGGUAAUACGGAGGAUCCGAGCGUUAUCCGGAUUUAUCGGGUUUAAAGGGAGCGUAGAUGGGUUGUUAAGUCAGUUGUGAAAGUUUGCGGCUCAACCGUAAAAUUGCAAUUGAUACUGGCAGUCUUGAGUACAGUUGAGGUAGGCGGAAUUCGUGGUGUAGCGGUGAAAUGCUUAGAUAUCACGAAGAACUCCGAUUGCGAAGGCAGCUUACUAACCUGUAACUGACAUUGAUGCUCGAAAGUGUGGGUAUCAAACAGGAUUAGAUACCCUGGUAGUCCACACGGUAAACGAUGAAUACUCGCUGUAGGCGAUAUACAGUCUGCGGCCAAGCGAAAGCAUUAAGUAUUCCACCUGGGGAGUACGCCGGCAACGGUGAAACUCAAAGGAAUUGACGGGGGCCCGCACAAGCGGAGGAACAUGUGGUUUAACUCGAUGAUACGCGAGGAACCUUACCCGGGCUUAAAUUGCAACCGAAUAUGGCGGAAACGCUAUAGCUAGCAAUAGCGGUUGUGAAGGUGCUGCAUGGUUGUCGUCAGCUCGUGCCGUGAGGUGUCGGCUUAAGUGCCAUAACGAGCGCAACCCUUGCCGAUAGUUACUAACAGGUCAUGCUGAGGACUCUGUCGGGACUGCCAUCGUAAGAUGUGAGGAAGGUGGGGAUGACGUCAAAUCAGCACGGCCCUUACGUCCGGGGCUACACACGUGUUACAAUGGGGGGGUACAGAGGGCUGCUACCACGCAAGUGGAUGCCAAUCCCAAAAACCUCUCUCAGUUCGGAUUGAAGUCUGCAACCCGACUUCAUGAAGCUGGAUUCGCUAGUAAUCGCGCAUCAGCCACGGCGCGGUGAAUACGUUCCCGGGCCUUGUACACACCGCCCGUCAAGCCAUGGGAGCCGGGGGUACCUGAAGUGCGUAACCGCAAGGAGCGCCCUAGGGUAAAACUGGUGACUGG
rnacentral:rRNA from 1 species